CUACGGGACGCUGCAGUGAGGAAUAUUGCACAAUGGGGGGAACCCUGAUGCAGCAACGCCGCGUGGAGGAUGACGCAUUUCGGUGUGUAAACCCCUUUUAUAUGUCAAGAAAAUGACGGUAGCAUAUGAAUAAGCACCGGCUAACUCCGUGCCAGCAGCCGCGGUAAUACGGAGGGUGCAAGCGUUACUCGGAAUCACUGGGCGUAAAGGACGCGUAGGCGGGUUGGAAAGUCAGGUGUGAAAUCCUACAGAUUAACUGUAGAACUGCACUUGAAACUUCUAAUCCAGAGUAUGGGAGGGGGAGAUGGAAUUAGUGGUGUAGGGGUAAAAUCCGUAGAUAUCACUAGGAAUACCUAAAGCGAAGGCGAUCUCCUGGAACAUUACUGACGCUAAGGCGUGAAAGCGUGGGGAGCAAACAGGAUUAGAUACCCGCGUAGUC
rnacentral:rRNA from 1 species